CCUACGGGAGGCAGCAGUGGGGAAUAUUGGACAAUGGGGGCAACCCUGAUCCAGCCAUGCCGCGUGUGUGAAGAAUGCCCUCGGGUUGUAAAGCACUUUCAGUGAGGAAGAACGCCUGGUGGUUAAUACCCAUCAGGAAAGACAUCACUCACAGAAGAAGCACCGGCUAACUCCGUGCCAGCAGCCGCGGUAAUACGGAGGGUGCGAGCGUUAAUCGGAAUUACUGGGCGUAAAGCGCGCGUAGGUGGCUUGAUAAGCCGGUUGUGAAAGCCCCGGGCUCAACCUGGGAACGGCAUCCGGAACUGUCAAGCUAGAGUGCAGGAGAGGAAGGUAGAAUUCCCGGUGUAGCGGUGAAAUGCGUAGAGAUCGGGAGGAAUACCAGUGGCGAAGGCGGCCUUCUGGACUGACACUGACACUGAGGUGCGAAAGCGUGGGUAGCAAACAGGAUUAGAUACCCUGGUAGUC
rnacentral:rRNA from 1 species